GACGAACGCUGGCGGCGUGCCUAAUACAUGCAAGUAGAACGCUGAAGGAGGAGCUUGCUCUUCUGGAUGAGUUGCGAACGGGUGAGUAACGCGUAGGUAACCUGCCUGGUAGCGGGGGAUAACUAUUGGAAACGAUAGCUAAUACCGCAUAAAAUUGAUUAUUGCAUGAUAGUCAAUUAAAAGGUGCAAUUGCAUCACUACCAGAUGGACCUGCGUUGUAUUAGCUAGUUGGUGAGGUAACGGCUCACCAAGGCAACGAUACAUAGCCGACCUGAGAGGGUGAUCGGCCACACUGGGACUGAGACACGGCCCAGACUCCUACGGGAGGCAGCAGUAGGGAAUCUUCGGCAAUGGACGGAAGUCUGACCGAGCAACGCCGCGUGAGUGAAGAAGGUUUUCGGAUCGUAAAGCUCUGUUGUAAGAGAAGAACGAGUGUGAGAGUGGAAAGUUCACACUGUGACGAUAUCUUACCAGAAAGGGACGGCUAACUACGUG
rnacentral:rRNA from 1 species